rnacentral:rRNA from 1 species
UACGAAGGGGGCUAGCGUUGCUCGGAAUCACUGGGCGUAAAGCGCACGUAGGCGGAUUGUUAAGUCAGGGGUGAAAUCCUGGAGCUCAACUCCAGAACUGCCUUUGAUACUGGCGAUCUUGAGACCGGGAGAGGAGGGUGGAAUACCCAGUGUAGAGGUGAAAUUCGUAGAUAUUGGGUGGAACACCGGUGGCGAAAGCGGCUCUCUGGCCCGGAUCUGACGCUGAGGCGCGAAAGCGUGGGGAGCAAACAGG